rfam:Schistosoma rodhaini strain Burundi genome assembly, scaffold: SROB_scaffold0003639
GCACUACUGAAGAGUCCCAUAAUAGGACGAAACGACUGUUCAAUGC